rnacentral:lncRNA from 1 species
GCCAAGAACCUCAAUGCCUUGCCCAAUGGGAGUGGCAAAGUCUUCCCCAGGCAGUUAAUGCAAGAAACUCAUGGCUGGUCAACGUGCUGCAAAUAAGUGACUACUUAGUAAUCAUCCCUAAAUGAGAUGUCAUUUCACUCCCUCCAAGGCUCAGAGAAUAUCGGUGAAUUAGGAAUGGAAAGAACAUAAGAGUGGGACAAUGAGUAGAACGUCAUGAAACACUGUCUUCUGGGCAUAACAUGCCUGUUACAUUCAUGAAUUCAUAGUAGCUGCAGUUGCCUGUAAAGCCAAGCCGGUCAGCAUUGGAUCAUGGGAGGGGGAGGGGCUUGUGUGGCCCUACCACCACUGAAGAACUAUUGACUAUUGAUGGAUGGAUGCUGGGAAAGAGUCACUGUCUUCAACAGUGUAAGCACUGGUAAGUUUUCUGUGCCCUAGUACAUAGAUCCUCAUCCGUGCCCACAUAGAUAAACU